rnacentral:rRNA from 1 species
UAGGGAAUCUUCCGCAAUGGACGCAAGUCUGACGGAGCAACGCCGCGUGAGUGAAGAAGGAUUUCGGUUCGUAAAACUCUGUUGUUAGAGAAGAACAGCGCAUAGAGUAACUGUUAUGCGUGUGACGGUAUCUAACCAGAAAGCCACGGCUAACUACGUGCCAGCAGCCGCGGUAAUACGUAGGUGGCAAGCGUUGUCCGGAUUUAUUGGGCGUAAAGCGAGCGCAGGCGGUCAAUUAAGUCUGAUGUGAAAGCCCCCGGCUCAACCGGGGAGGGUCAGUGGAAACUGGUUGACUUGAGUGCAGAAGAGUAGAGUGGAAUUCCAUGUGUAGCGGUGAAAUGCGUAGAUAUAUGGAGGAACACCAGUGGCGAAGGCGACUCUCUGGUCUGUAACUGACGCUGAGGCUCGAAAGCGUGGGUAGCAAACAGG